CUUUCCUCUGUUUCUUUGUACAUUUUUCAUGUGGCUACAAAAAAAUAUAAGCUUGUUGUAGGUUUCUGUUGGACAGUGCUGAAUUGCCACAGCUAACACCAAGAUGAUAGUUGUUUAUUAUCCAUUCUCACUGUCAGAAAACAAGAUGCUUGGGGCUCUGGUUUUGUUUGCUUAUUUUUUUGUUUUUAAACAGAAGUUUUGCUGCCAAUUAGCAAUUAGAGAAUUUUCUUAGGUCAGAAAACUUACAAUUUGCAGUAAUCAAAAGAAGUUAGUAAAUUCUAUUUGUGACUCUGCUUAUGGAAAUUCUAAUUUAAAAACACAGUAAGAAAUACAGGCUAGAUUUAUUGAUUCUAUGAUGUUCAGUUAAGGUAGUAAACCUAGAAGUAUUCGCCUAAAGAGAAAAACAUUCUUGAGUUUGCAGAUUGCCAUCUUGGUAAUAUAGAAGGCAUGCCAUAUGCACCUGAUGACACUUUAUUGUAUCUGUUUCUAUCUAAAAAGCCUUGCACAUUUGCAGUUGUAACCUAAUUCAGUUCUCAUGGGUUCUUCACAGUAGUUUAAAGUCAAACAGUGUGCACAUAGAUACACUACAUAAUAAAAAAUUGUACAAAACAGGAGAAAGUAGCUUCAUAGUAAAUAUAAACCAAAACUGAAAAGAAGUUUCUUGCUUGUAUCUUUUUGCUAUUCUUAAUUCUGUGAUUGUAAAGAUUUUGUCUUUUUGUAUAUUUUUUAUGCAGGAGUCCAACCUAUACCUUCUCAGGGAGGCAAACUAGAAAUAGCUGGCACUGUGGUUGGCCAUUGGGCUGGGAGCAGGCGGGGCCGUGGGGGCCGGGGGCCUUUCCCCCUGCAGGUGGUUUCUGUCGGAGGACCAGCUAGAGGGCGUCCAAGAGGAGUUAUUUCCACCCCAGUGAUUAGAACAUUUGGAAGAGGUGGAAGGUACUAUGGCAGAGGUUACAAAAACCAGGCAGCAAUUCAGGGCAGACCUCCUUAUGCUGCUUCAGCAGAAGAAGUGGCCAAAGAACUUAAGUCAAAAUCUGGGGAAUCGAAGUCCUCUGCUAUGUCUUCAGACGGGUCCCUGGCUGAAAACGGAGUGAUGGCCGAGGAGAAGCCGGCUCCCCAGAUGAACGGGAGCACGGGUGACGCCAGGGCCCCCAGCCACUCUGAAAGUGCCUUGAAUAAUGACUCUAAAACGUGCAAUACAAAUCCUCAUUUAAAUGCACUAAGUACAGACAGCGCUUGCCGCAGAGAAGCUGCUCUGGAGGCAGCUGUCUUAAAUAAAGAAGAGUAAACUUAUUUUUUAUAGAGGGUGAAGGAUGCUGGAAGGGUAAGGAUUUAGGAAUAUCUGGAGAGAAAGAGAGCCUGCAGUUAUGUACAUUUUGUCCUUUCCGUAAGAGAAAAAUGAGGACUUUGGAAAUUCAGAUCCCUCUUUGAUAUCAGAGAUUUAAACAACACAUUUUUAGUUUUAACCAGUUGUAGUCAAAAUGCUACAAUAAAAC
rnacentral:lncRNA from 1 species